rnacentral:rRNA from 1 species
AUUGAACGCUGGCGGCAUGCCUUACACAUGCAAGUCGAACGGCAGCACGGGUGCUUGCGCCUGGUGGCGAGUGGCGAACGGGUGAGUAAUACAUCGGAACAUGUCCUGUAGUGGGGGAUAGCCCGGCGAAAGCCGGAUUAAUACCGCAUACGAUCUACGGAUGAAAGCGGGGGACCUUCGGGCCUCGCGCUAUAGGGUUGGCCGAUGGCUGAUUAGCUAGUUGGUGGGGUAAAGGCCUACCAAGGCGACGAUCAGUAGCUGGUCUGAGAGGACGACCAGCCACACUGGGACUGAGACACGGCCCAGACUCCUACGGGAGGCAGCAGUGGGGAAUUUUGGACAAUGGGCGAAAGCCUGAUCCAGCAAUGCCGCGUGUGUGAAGAAGGCCUUCGGGUUGUAAAGCACUUUUGUCCGGAAAGAAAUCCUUGGCCCUAAUACGGUCGGGGGAUGACGGUACCGGAAGAAUAAGCACCAGCUAACUACGUG